rnacentral:piRNA from 2 species
UGAGUUUGUUAAAAUGUGCUGGACAUCCAGA